GAUUAGGAAAGCACUUGGGAGGCACAUUAAUCUUGCCAGCGUUGUCAGGAAUGAUCAGCGAGUUUUAUUAAAAAGCCCCAGUUGCCUGAAAGGCCUCCUUGUCUGAAUCUGAGUGGAAGGAGCAUGUUAAGAUGCUGGGGCAUACUGUCGGGACCCCUGGCCUUGUCCUCUGAACUUCAGGCUGACACUCAGAGAGGAAGUGCAGGAACCUCACUUUGUUGAACAGACUGUGCCUGUGGACAGAGCAGGCCCUGGCAUCAUGCACUCUCCAGGCUGCACUGGGCCCAAGGCUCUGUCGUUCUUGCUGCUCCAGCUGCUUCUGUGGCACCUGGAACCAGCCAGUGCCACCUUCAUCAGCAUCAACCGGGGCCUGAGGGUGAUGAAGGGUAGUUCUGCCUUCCUGUCUGAAGAUCACCUGAGGUUUGCCAUCCCUAAAGAGAAGGAUGCCUGCAGAGUGGAGGUGGUGAUGAAUGAGCCCAUAACCCAGAGGGUUGGGAAACUCACUCCACAGGUCUUUGAUUGCCAUUUUCUUCCCAAUGAAGUAAAGUAUGUUCACAAUGGAUGCCCAAUUCUGGACGAAGACUCUGUGAAGCUUAGGCUUUACAGGUUUACUGAAACAGACACCUUCAUGGAAACCUUUCUCUUGCGGGUCCAUCUCGUGGAGCCAGACUGUAACAUCAUCCGUGUGAGCAGCAAUGUGUUGGAAGUGAAUGAAUUCUAUGGCUUAUCCCAAGCCAUUGAUAAGAACCUGCUCCAAUUUGAUUAUGAUAGGACAUCCAGUCUGGACUGCACCAUCAGACUAAACCCAGUGAGGACUCAGCUGCCAGCCCACGGCAAGCUGGUUGUGGUGAACCGUAAGUCAGAGGGACCUCGUGGAGAUCAGCCACACAGCUUUUUCUCUGAGACAGAGCUAGGGGCAGGACUGAAGUGUCCGGAUGGAAGUUGUGCCCUGGAAUUGAAGCAAGUGGCAAGUCUGAAAGUGAGCUGUGAGGAGUUCCUGCUGACGGGGUUUCACUACCAACACAUGCAGCCCCCUUCACCCAACAUUGAUUACAUCCCCAUUCAGCUGGAGCUCACAGACAGAAGGAGUAAAACUGUCUACAAGUCAGAGAGUGUGUGGCUGCCUGUCUAUAUCAGAGUUGGCAUUCCUAACCAGGCCCCAAGGGCUGCGUUCAUGGCCAUGUUUGUUCUGGAGGUGGACCAGUUCAUACUGACCCCUCUGACCACCUCCGUUCUGGACUGUGAGGAGGAUGAGACUCCGAAACCCUUGUUGGUGUUUAACAUCACUAAAGCCCCACUCCAGGGCUAUGUGACCCACCUGCUGGAUCACACCAGACCCAUCUCUUCAUUUACCUGGAAGGAUCUCAGAGACAUGCAAGUUGCCUACCAGCCACCAAACAGCAGCCACCCUGAGAGGAGACAUUACAAGAUGGAGUUGGAGGUGUACGACUUCUUCUUUGAGAGGAGCACCCCCAUCACUGUCCACAUCUCCAUCAGAACAGCAGACACAAACGCACCCCGGGUGUCCUGGAAUAUAGGUUUGAAUCUCCUGGAGGGGCAGUCUCGGGCCAUCACUUGGGAACAGUUUCAGAUUGUUGACAAUGAUGACAUUGAUGCUGUGCAGUUGGUCACCAUUGGUGGCCUACAGCAUGGACGGCUUACAGUAAGAGAAGGGAAAGGAUUUCUCUUCACCGUGGCUGACCUUCAGGCUGGAGUUGUUCGGUAUCAUCAUGAUGACAGUGACACCACCAAAGACUUUGUGGCCUUCAGGAUAUUCGAUGGCCGACACAGCAGCCAUCACAAGUUUCCUAUCAACAUCUUGCCUAAAGAUGACAGCCCUCCAUUCCUCAUAACCAAUGUUGUGAUUGAACUAGAAGAAGGGAAGGCCAUCUUGAUCCAAGGGUCCAUGCUGAGAGCUUCAGACAUGGACUCCAGUGAUGACUAUAUCUUCUUUAAUAUCACAAAGUCCCCACAGGCUGGGGAGAUCAUGAAGCAGCCAGGCCCAAGACUGACAGGCUAUCCUGUCCCCGGCUUCCUUCAGAGAGACCUGUUCAAUGGAAUCAUUUACUACCGUCACUUCGGUGGAGAAAUCUUUGAAGAUUCUUUUGAAUUUGUCCUAUGGGACAGCCAUGAACCUCCAAAUCUCUCAGUGCCACAGGUGGUGACGAUCCAUAUCACUCCAGUAGAUGAUCAGCUUCCCAAGGAAGCUCCUGGCAUUUCCCGUCAUUUGGUUGUCAAGGAAACGGAGGUGGCCUACAUCACUAAAAAACACCUACAUUUCCUAGACACGGAAUCUCAAGACGGAGAACUCAUCUAUACAGUAACACGUCCUCCAUGUUUCUCCUUCAGCCACAGAUACUUGGAUGCUGGGAAGCUAUUCAUGGUGGACAGCAUACCAAAGCUAACCAAAAAUCCUACAGCCCCAGGGCUAAGCUCAUUUACUCAGCAUGCCGUGAACCAUAUGAAAGUGGCCUACAUGCCACCCAUGCAAGAUAUAGGUCCCACACCUCGACACGUGCAGUUCACAGUGUCCGUCAGCAACCAGCACGGAGGUACUUUGCACGGAAUCUGCUUCAAUGUCACAAUUCUCCCGGUGGACAAUCAGGUUCCCGAGGUAUUCACCAACACCCUGAGAGUGGCUGAGGGCGGUCAAUGCACCAUCAGCACGGAGCACAUCUUAGUUUCUGAUUCGGACACCCCACUGGACAGCAUCUGCCUUUCUCUUCAGGAGAUGCCUCUGCAUGGCGGGGUAGAGCUGGAUGGAUUUCCUCUAAACCCAAGAGGCACAUUUUCUUGGCAAGACCUCCAUAACUUAAAAGUUAGGUAUCAACAUGAUGGAUCCGAGGUUUUUCAGGAUGAGAUAUUCUUGGAGGUCACAGAUGGCACAAAUUCAGCAGAAUUUGUUCUCCACAUCGAGGUAUUCCCUGUGAAUGAUGAGCCACCUGUUCUGAAGACUGACCUCAUCCCCAUGAUGCACUGCUCAGAGGGUGGAGAGGUGACCAUCACCCCUGAAUACAUUUUUGCUACUGAUGCAGACAAUGAUGACUUGGAACUGCUGUUUCUGAUUGCCCGAGGGCCUCAGCAUGGAGUGGUGAGAAAGGCUGGACUCCAUGUGGACAGAUUCUCUCAGGGAGAUGUCAUUUCAGGGACUGUGACAUACAAACAUACAGGUGGUGAGAUUGGCCUCGAACCUUGUUCUGACACUGUCGUGUUGGUGGUUUCGGAUGGUGAAGCCGACCCUUUGGUGAAUGGCUGUUGCUACGGUAGACUUGAUUCAUCUGUUCCUCUUCAUAAGUCCUUUCCCACGUACCAGCUCAAUAUCACGGUGCAUCCAGUCAACAACCAGCCACCUUCAAUUAUAAUAGGUAGGAUGUUCACAGUGGACGAAGGCUGCUCAGCAUCCCUUACUACUCAUCACUUGACUAUCACUGACCGGGACACUGCCCCAGAUGACUUAGAAUUCAUUUUGGCUUCUCAUCCCCAGUUCGGCUACCUAGAAAACACACUGCCUUCUGCAGGCUUUGAGAAAAGUAAUAUGGGCAUAAGCAUAGCUUCAUUCCAGUGGACAGACAUGCAAGCUGCUCACAUUAACUAUGUGCAGUCCAGGCACCUGGGAGUGGAACCAACUGCUGACCAGUUCACAGUAUAUGCCACAGAUGGGAAGCAACGCUCCUUGGAGACAACAUUUCAUGUUAUCAUCAACCCCAUAAACGAUGAAGCUCCUGACCUUGUGGUACAGAAUAUCACUGUGGAUGAAGGUCACAUGAUAGAACUGGAUGCUUCCAUCAUCAGUGCCACUGAUAGGGAUGUUCCCAAGGACCCCUUGCUCUUUAGCAUCGCUCACAAGCCCCAGCACGGCCUCCUCAUCAAUGCGGCCGUCAGCAAGGACUCUCAUCAGAUCAAGCAGCUGGAACAUGAAAUCCACAACUUCUCAGCAGACCUUCUCAAGAAUGGAAUGAAGCUGGCCUAUGCCCACGACGGCUCAGAGAGCUCUGCUGAUAACUUCGUGAUCCAGCUGUCAGAUGGGAAGCAUAAAAUCCUUAAAACCAUCUCAGUAAACAUCACACCAGUGAAUGAUGAGAGACCAACGCUAAGCAAGAAGGCUGAAAUCUCAAUGACUGUGGGUGAUACUAGAGUUCUGUCUAGUGCUGUUCUUUCAGCCAUAGAUAAAGACUCACCAAGGGAGAAGAUUCACUAUUUAUUUGAAAGACUUCCCCAAAAUGGGCAACUUCAGCUUAAGAUAGGGAGGGACUGGGUCCCUCUCUCCGCUGGCAUGCAGUGCACCCAGGAGGAUGUGGACCUGAACUUGCUAAGAUACACGCACACUGGUAAAAUGGAUUCCCAGAAUGGAGACAGCUUCACCUUCUCCCUCUGGGAUGAGGCCAACAGGUCACCUGCAUUUGACUGUCACAUCAUCAUUGAAGACACGGGCAAAGGUGAUAUUGUCAUUCAUGUGAAACCACUCGUGGUAGCCAAAGGUGGCAGAGGUCUCUUGACGACCGCCUCUCUUAUGGCUGUGGACGGAGCAGACAAGCCUGAGGACUUUCUCUACCUCAUCACUUCCCCACCACAGUAUGGCCAAGUGGAGUACAUCCACUCUCCUGGAGUCCCCAUUACCAGCUUUAGCCAAAUGGACAUAGCAGAACAGACAAUCUGCUACAUACACAAGAGUAGGACAGCCGUCCCCAGUGACAGCUUCAGUCGAUGGGGACACAAGAGCCCAUGCUGAAGGCUGCCUUGCCUCUCUUUGCCAGAUUUACCAUCAGCAAUGGACUGCAGACCCAGCAUGGGGUGUUUGAGAUCACGCUGCAGACUGUGGACCGUGCCUUGCCUGUGCUGACCAAGAACAAAAGGCUGAGGCUAGCUGAAGGGGCCAUGAGCCUACUGUCUGCUGAUCACCUUCAGCUGACUGACCCCGACACACCUCCAGAGAAUCUAACCUUCUUUCUGGCCCAGCUCCCACGUCAUGGGUACCUCUACCUGAGAGGGAAAGUACUCCAACAUAAUUUCACCCAGCGAGAUGUGGACAGCAGGGGUGUGGCCUACCAGCACUCAGGAGACGGUGCCCAGGAGGACUGCUUUACCUUCCUAGCCACAGACAGGAAGAACCAAGGCUUUGUUGUGGAUGGAAAAGUUCAGAAAGAGCCUGUUCGCUUCACUAUCCAGGUGGACCAGCUGGACAAGGCAGCACCCCGCAUCACACACUUGCACUCCCCUUCUCAAGUGGGGCUCUUGAAAAAUGGCUGCUAUGGGAUUUACAUAACUUCCCAUGUGCUGAAGGCGUCGGACCCUGACACAGAGGAUGACCAGAUCAUCUUUAAGAUUUUACGAGGCCCAUUGCACGGACGUCUGGAGAACACAACAACGGGUGAAUUCAUCCAUGAGCGAUUUAGCCAGAAGGACUUAAGCCAUAAGACCAUCCUUUAUAUCAUAAACCCUUCCUUGCAAGUGAAUUCAGAUAUCCUGGAAUUUCAGGCCAUGGACCCCACAGGAAACACUGCCACUCCCCGGAGCUUGGAGCUGAAAUGGUCGUAUAUUGAGUGGUCCCAGACUGAAUAUGAGGUCUGUGAGAAUGUGGGCAUAUUGCCCUUGCAAGUUACCAGAAGGGGAUAUUCCAUGGACUCAGCCUUUGUGGGUGUAGAGGUUAACCAAGUGUCAGCUAUAGUUGGAAAAGAUUUUACUGUCACUCCAUCCAAACUGCUUCAAUUUGACCCAGGAAUGUCAACUAAGAUGUGGAAUAUAGCAAUUACCUAUGACGGAUUAGAGGAAGAUGAUGAGGUCUUUGAAGUAAUUCUGAACUCCCCUGUGAAUGCGGUUCUUGGCACACAGACAAAAGCAGCAGUGAAAAUUUUGGACUCAAAAGGAGGACGGUGCCAUCCUUCAAAUUCCUUCAACCAAAGCAAGCACAGCACGUGGGGGAAGGGCCUUUGGCAUCCGCUGCCCUCAGGCUCAUCCUCACUCACCACUUCGGGUUCUCCUCCUCUGGAAAGAAGGCCUCCUCCAUCUUUUACCAAAGGAGAUGCUCUUCAGGGUUUUGGUCUCACAGACCUCUCUCAAAGGAAGAUGACGACCCAGGGGAAUGGCAAAUCAGUUCUCCCAUCCUCUGUUUGUAGAAAUGGAACAGACACCAUCUACAAUUAUCAUGGUAUAGUUUCCUUGAAACUAGAGGGUGACAGAAUCUCAGCUCACAAACGGAAGGCCAAACUAUCUAUUGUCAGUCAGCCACGGAGGACAAUCAAGGUGGCAGAGCUGCCGCUAGCUGAUAAGGUGGAAUCCACAGCUGACUCGCACCUUUUCAGACAGGGUCUGUGGCCCUUGUUUCCAAAGAACUGUUCUGUGGAAUUAAAGGGACUCCUUCAUUUUGAAGAAAGCACCCACAGAUUGUAUCAAUGUGAUGGGAUCUCCUGGAAAGCCUGGAGCCCCCAAACCAAGGGGCUGGAGGAUAGAUCCUGCCCAGCUGGAUGGCUCCUUCAUUCGGGCUACUGUCACAUCUUGGUCACAAGGCAGAAAGGCACCUGGACCACAGCUACCCGAGCUUGCAGAGAACAGCACCACGGCGACCUUGUGACCGUCUUCUCCAGGAGUCAUAUGCAGUGGCUAUGGGCAAUCAGUGGAAGAAAGCCCUUCUGGAUAGGCUUGAAGAAUCAAGUGCGAACUGGCCACUGGGAGUGGAUCGGAGGUGAACCUGUUGCUUUCACCAACUGGAGGAGAGGGCCCCCUCUGCACCCGAAACAUGGAAAGAACUGCGUUUUGGUUCAGAAAAGGGGGCAAUGGCAGUCAAAGAACUGUAGCAAAGGCAAGGCUCACAAUUUUGUGUGCUCAAGGAAACUCUGAACAUAACCUGAGAUUUUUCACCUAUUUACAAGAUCUAUGUGUAUUGCUCAGUGGAAAUGCAUUGUUGUGGCUGGCUGGGCAUGUCUUUGCGAGUCUGUCAAGUAAACCUGGAAGCUAAAUCAGCAGUCCUUGGGAGAUGACUGUAUGAAUGUGCCUUUCACGAUAGGAUACAAGUUCGAUAUCUCAAUAUUUUUCUAGAUAAAUGUCUGCAAUAUUAUAGAUUAUAAUAUUUGCUUCUUCUAGAGGACUCAGACUUUUUCCUAUGCUGACUCUCAGGCAGUACAAAUUUCCAUGGAGCUUAAACGCAUUUGUCUGUAGACCUCAAGUGAGUCCACCUAGAAAGAUCAGUAUUGCAGGUGCUUCUACCACAGAGUUUGAGUGGACAUAGCCCUGUAGAUCCAUUCAACCAAGGUUGAAUGCCAAAGGUUGGCUUGUUUCCUUAGGCCCUUUAAAUGUGAACUUAAAACCAGAGGCCAUGUGUAGACAAAGGUGCUCUGUUUUGAAUGGAAGAGUCUUGCAGGAGGAUGUUCAACUAUACAGGUCUAGUGAGGUAGGGGCAGAGGCCUGCCUCUAUUGGAGAGCUCAGCUGGAGGCAAUGCUCUACCUCUACUAGGGAGAUCAAACCAUUCCACUCAAGAAACACAUUACAUCCCAAUACAAUUAAAGCAUUGUGCCAUUCCUUGACUAAAUAUUGGGUUUUCCCACCUUCCAAGGUCAUGUGAACUUUGAAGUAGCAAUAUCUUCAUCUCUAGUUACUAUGUUGCCAAGUAUUUGAAAGGAUCUAUGGAAUAAGGAGUGUAUAUGAGUAUGGUUGACAUACAGAAGAAAAGUGCCACGCCCUCAGAAGCACCCUCAUGAACUGUUCUGAUGACCAAAGAAAAAUAAGACUGGAAACAGAUCCUUUGAAGGGCCACAGCACACUCUCGGAAAGGGUUUUGAUAUGACUUUGAACCUUUAAAAUCUGUAAUAUUUGCAGAGAUACUCUUCUAACUAGAUUCUCUAAUAAAAGGUCCCUUAUUAAUUUAUAAACUCAGUUGAGUGAAACAUCUUUGUAGCAAUGAAGCAUGCUGUGCAUCUCUCAACCAUCCCGUCUGGAACCCAGGGUUAGUUAUAGGAAGUUAGAACAUCCUUUUUUGAAAUGUUUAUUAAAAUUUUUCUUUUCAUAAUCUCUAAAAAAAUACAGCUGUGCCAAAUAUAACCUGUCAUAUGAGCACCAGUGUAACUUUAGAAUUAAAUGAGGUGUUCAAGUAGACUAGAGCUUUAGGGCAGACUUUUUAAAUAGAAUAAUAAUAUCUCGAGUGCUAUAGACACUAAAAAUGGCUUAAGGAAGUCGUUCCAGUUUCUGGAUAUAAAACAUGACAGGCUUCCUUCAUUCCUGCUCAUUUAUCAAAGUUUCGGUUCAUAGAAAUUUUUACCUAAGGUUAGGAUAAGGCUCAGACAUUCUGUCUCUUGCUGAAAUCCAGAUGUAAUUGCAGAGCCGGGUGCUCUUAGCUCACAGAGGUUUGGAGAAGUCUGUAGACAGUAAGUGCGAAGGUCUGUGGAACAUAAGGAUCCUUUAGUGUUUAACCCAAACAGGCCAAAUCCUUCCUUCACUCUGGCUCCAGCCAAGAUCCUUGUCAUCUCCUAGCUUCUGCACUGUGUAAAGUUAGGAUUCAGAGUGCAGGAAAGAGGGCGGAGCUCUCCGGUUCUGAACUUGAGGAAUUCAUUCUAAAGCUGUGUGCACUGUUAAAGCUGGAAAUACAGAACUAGGCCAACCAUGUUCAACCUGGGUGGCAUGGUUAGUUUAUUCCACUUUCCUGCACUGAAAAUGGUGUGGCUGUCAUUGUAAGUGGUUAAUAUAGGGAAUGGUUUGGGGUUUAUAUCAAUUAGGAAGAGACCAUUUUGAAAUUUUCUUGAUCAUGAAAGUUUUAUCAAAAUGAGAAAUCGGGUCUAGGUGAUUAGAAGAAUGCACAAGUUCAGGCAAGCUUAGCUUCUGGACACACUGUCAGGGUUGAGUAGGAAAGGCUGGAGAUCCAGUAGCCAAGGACAUACAGCAGAGGUCUAACUUGAAUGACCACUCAGGAAUUUCUUAUGUGCAACGACAUACAUGCAUCUUAAUGGUAUAUAACUUUUAAAUUUUGUUCUGAUAUUUGAUCCUUAAAGAAUACGUAGUAUAUGUUGAUUGAAGAUCAAUCUUAAAGGCCGGUGCUAAUUAUUCCCUCCCCUUCGCUGGAGUGGUACAAACCAACUGAGCAACCUUUAUUUGUAUUUCUAGUUUAGUUUAUUUUUAGCACAACCCAAAUACGCACGUAUUUUAAUGAACACUGUGGCUCUAUGUAAUUUAAUCAUCAACUGGUGCUGACUAAUUUCUGUAAGGAAGUAGCAUAUUAAAUGUACUGUAUCCAAUGUUGUGUCAAAGCCAAUAAAGUAAACAUGUCUAAUUCUCAGA